rnacentral:rRNA from 1 species
UCNUGGGAUAACACUGACGCUCAUGCACGAAAGCGUGGGAGCAAACAGGAUUAGAUACCCUGGUAGUNCACGCCCUAAACGAUGUCUACUAGUUGUCGNGGAUUAAUUUCCUUGGUAACGCAGCUAACGCGUGAAGUAGACCGCCUGGGGAGUACGGUCGCAAGAUUAAAACUCAAAGGAAUUGACGGGGACCCGCACAAGCGGUGGAUGAUGUGGAUUAAUUCGAUGCAACGCGAAAAACCUUACCUACGCUUGACAUGUCCGGAACCCUGAAGAGAUUUGGGGGUGCUCGAAAGAGAGCCGGAACACAGGUGCUGCAUGGCUGUCGUCAGCUCGUGUCGUGAGAUGUUGGGUUNNNNNNCGCAACGAGCGCAACCCUUAUCAUUAGUUGCUACGCAAGGGCACUCUAAUGAGACUGCCGGUGACAAACCGGAGGAAGGUGGGGAUGACGUCAAGUCCUCAUGGCCCUUAUGUGUAGGGCUUCACACGUCAUACAAUGGUCGGUACAGAGGGUUGCGAAGCCGCGAGGUGGAGCCAAUCCCAAAAAACCGAUCGUAGUCCGGAUUGCGGUCUGCAACUCGA